UACGUAGGGGGCUAGCGUUGUUCGGAAUUACUGGGCGUAAAGGGUGCGUAGGCGGUGGGGUAAGUUUGAGGUGAAAGCUCCGGGCUCAACCCGGAAAAUGCCUUGAAAACUAUCCGGCUAGAGGGUUGGAGGGGAGACUGGAAUUCUCGGUGUAGCAGUGAAAUGCGUAGAUCUCGAGAGGAACACCAGUGGCGAAGGCGGGUCUCUGGACAACACCUGACGCUGAGGCACGAAAGCGUGGGGAGCAAACAGG
rnacentral:rRNA from 1 species